UACGUAGGGUGCAAGCGUUUAAUCGGAAUUACUGGGCGUAAAGUGUGCGCAGGCGGCAGAGCAAGUCGAGUGUGAAAGCCCCGGGCUUAACUUGGGAAUUGCGCUCGAAACUACUUUGCUGGAGUGUGGCAGAGGAAGGUGGAAUUCCACGUGUAGCGGUGAAAUGCGUAGAGAUGUGGAGGAACACCAAUGGCGAAGGCAGCCUUCUGGGCCAACACUGACGCUCAUGCACGAAAGCGUGGGGAGCAAACAGG
rnacentral:rRNA from 1 species